rnacentral:tRNA from 1 species
GUUCUUAUAGUUGAAUUACAACGGCGGUUUUUCGUAUCGCUAGUCUUGGUUAGAGUCCAGGUAGGAAUU